rnacentral:rRNA from 1 species
GACGAACGCUGGCGGCGUGCUUAACACAUGCAAGUCGAACGGAAAGGCCCUGCUUUUGUGGGGUGCUCGAGUGGCGAACGGGUGAGUAACACGUGAGUAACCUGCCCUUGACUUUGGGAUAACUUCAGGAAACUGGGGCUAAUACCGGAUAGGAGCUCCUGCUGCAUGGUGGGGGUUGGAAAGUUUCGGCGGUUGGGGAUGGACUCGCGGCUUAUCAGCUUGUUGGUGGGGUAGUGGCUUACCAAGGCUUUGACGGGUACCCGGCCUGAGAGGGUGACCGGCCACAUUGGGACUGAGAUACGGCCCAGACUCCUACGGGAGGCAGCAGUGGGGAAUAUUGCACAAUGGGCGGAAGCCUGAUGCAGCAACGCCGCGUGCGGGAUGACGGCCUUCGGGUUGUAAACCGCUUUCGCCUGUGACGAAGCGUGAGUGACGGUAAUGGGUAAAGAAGCACCGGCUAACUACGG